rnacentral:rRNA from 1 species
AUACGGAGGGUCCGAGCGUUAUCGGGAAUCAUUGGGUUUAAAGGGUCCGUAGGCGGGAAUCUAAGUCAGUGGUGAAAUCUUGCAGCUCAACUGUAAAAUUGCCAUUGAUACUGGAUUUCUUGAAUUAGUGUGAAGUGGUUAGAAUGUGUAGUGUAGCGGUGAAAUGCAUAGAUAUUACACAGAAUACCAAUUGCGAAGGCAGAUCACUAACACUAUAUUGACGCUAAGGGACGAAAGCGUGGGGAGCGAACAGGAUUAGAAACCCCGGUAGUCC